rnacentral:rRNA from 1 species
GACGAACGCUGGCGGCGUGCUUAACACAUGCAAGUCGAACGGAAAGGCCCUGCUUUUGUUGGGUGCUCGAGUGGCGAACGGGUGAGUAACACGUGAGUAACCUGCCCUUGACUUUGGGAUAACUUCAGGAAACUGGGGCUAAUACCGGAUAGGAGCUCCUGCUGCAUGGGGGGGGUUGGAAAGUUUCGGCGGUUGGGGAUGGACUCGCGGGUUAUCAGCUUGUUGGUGGGGUAGUGGCUUACCAAGGCUUUGAAGGGUAGCCGGCCGGAGAGGGUGACCGGCCACAUUGGGCCUGAGAUACGGCCCAGACUCCUACGGGACGCAGCAGUGGGGAAUCUUGCACAAUGGGCGGAAGCCUGAUGAAGCAACGCCGCGUGCGGGAUGACGGCCUUCGGGUUGUAAACCGCUUUCGCAUGUGCCGAAGCGUGAGUGACGGUAAUGGGUAAAGAAGCACCGGCUAACUACGUG